rnacentral:rRNA from 1 species
AAGAAACCAACAGGGAUUGCCUCAGUAACGGCGAGUGAAGCGGCAAAAGCUCAAAUUUUAAAGCUGACAUCUUCGGUGUCCGCGUUGUAAUUUUGUGAGGCAUCUCCGGGUAGGGCGCUGGCCUAAGUUCCUUGGAACAGGACGUCACAGAGGGUGAGAAUCCCGUGCUUGGCUGGCUGUCCCCGUCCAUGUGAGGUGUCUUCGACGAGUCGAGUUGUUUGGGAAUGCAGCUCAAAAUGGGUGGUAAAUUUCAUCUAAAGCUAAAUAUUGGUGGGAGACCGAUAGCGCACAAGUAGAGUGAUCGAAAGAUGAAAAGCACUUUGAAAAUAGAGUUAAAAAGUACGUGAAAUUGUUGAAAGGGAAGCGCUUGRGACCAGACUUCGGUAAGGGGUGAUCAGCCGUCCUUUUGGGCGGUGCACUUGCCCCCCUCCGGGCCAGCAUCGGUUGAGGCGGCGGGAUAAAGGUCCCGGGAAUGUGGCUCCUUCACGGGAGUGUUAUAGCCCGGGUGAAUGCCGCCAG